CAGACUUAGGUGGCGGACGGGUGAGUAAUGUAUGAGCAACCUGCCUUCAAGAGGGGAAUAACAGUCGGAAACGACUACUAAUACCGCAUAACAAAGCGUAGUCGCAUGACAAUGCUUUUCAAAAGGAGCAAUCCGCUUUGAGGAUGGGCUCAUAUCUGAUUAGAUAGUUGGUGAGGUAACGGCUCACCAAGUCUGCGAUCAGUAGCCGGACUGAGAGGUUGAACGGCCACAUUGGAACUGAGAUACGGUCCAGACUCC
rnacentral:rRNA from 1 species